ACUCAAAGGAAUAGACGGGGGCCCGCACAAGCAGCGGAGCAUGUGGUUUAAUUCGAAGCAACGCGAAGAACCUUACCAGGACUUGACAUCAUCUGGCCGCUUAAGAGAUUAGGCCUUCCCUUCGGGGACAGAUAGACAGGUGGUGCAUGGUUGUCGUCAGCUCGUGUCGUGAGAUGUUGGGUUAAGUCCCGCAACGAGCGCAACCCUUGUAAUUAGUUGCUAGCAGAUAAAGCUGAGCACUCUAAUUAGACUGCCGGAGAUAAUUCGGAGGAAGGUGGGGAUGACGUCAAAUCAUCAUGCCCCUUAUGUCCUGGGCUACACACGUGCUACAAUGGUCUGUACAAAGGGUAGCGAAGCCGUGAGGCGGAGCCAAUCCCACAAAACAGAUCCCAGUUCGGAUUGCAGGCUGCAACUCGCCUGCAUGAAGUCGGAGUUGCUAGUAAUCGCGGAUCAGAAUGCCGCGGUGAAUGCGUUCCCGGGCCUUGUACACACCGCCCGU
rnacentral:rRNA from 1 species